rnacentral:rRNA from 1 species
ACGUAGGUGACAAGCGUUGUCCGGAUUUACUGGGUGUAAAGGGCGCGUAGGUGGACUGUCAAGUCAGUCGUGAAAUACCGGGGCUUAACCCCGGGGCUGCGAUUGAAACUGACAGCCUUGAGUAUCGGAGAGGAAAGCGGAAUUCCUAGUGUAGCGGUGAAAUGCGUAGAUAUUAGGAGGAACACCAGUGGCGAAGGCGGCUUUCUGGACGACAACUGACGCUGAGGCGCGAAAGUGUGGGGAGCAAACAG